UGCCAGCAGCCGCGGUAAUACGUAGGGGGCAAGCGUUAUCCGGAUUUACUGGGUGUAAAGGGAGCGUAGACGGAUGGACAAGUCUGAUGUGAAAGGCUGGGGCUCAACCCCGGGACUGCAUUGGAAACUGCCCGUCUUGAGUGCCGGAGAGGUAAGCGGAAUUCCUAGUGUAGCGGUGAAAUGCGUAGAUAUUAGGAGGAACACCAGUGGGGAAGGCGGCUUACUGGACGGUAACUGACGUUGAGGCUCGAAAGCGUGGGGAGCAAACAGGAUUAGAUA
rnacentral:rRNA from 1 species